GACGUAGGGCGCGAGCGUUGUCCGGAUUUAUUGGGCGUAAAGAGCUCGUAGGCGGCUUGUCGCGUCGAAUGUGAAAACUCGGGGCUCAACCCCGCGCUUGCAUUCGAUACGGGCAGGCUCGAGUUCGGUAGGGGAGACUGGAAUUCCUGGUGUAGCGGUGAAAUGCGCAGAUAUCAGGAGGAACACCGGUGGCGAAGGCGGCAUCCUGGACCGGUAUUGACGCUGAGGCGCGAAAGCCAGGGGAGCAAACGGG
rnacentral:rRNA from 1 species